UAUGAAGAGUAUGAGAAGGAAGGAAGGGUUCCUUUUCAUGGAAGAAGAUGGUGACAACAAUUCAAAGGUUUUGUUUGGAUUUGACGCUUUCUUGUGGAAUAAGGAAUCAUUUUCUCAGUGAUUCUUCGUCUUCACCUCCUUCAAACUUCAUCACCUUCAACUCUCCCUCCUUCUCUGCUACCCUCUCGCUCACGCUCACCUUCCUUCCCAAUCUCAAAGGUAUUUCCCAACACGAGAAAGAUCGGGAAUCAAGAAUGAGAUUGUUGUCACAGAGGGCUCUGGAAAGAUCAAUUCGCUAUGAAUCCGUAAUUUGCAUGGCCAAAAGAUAUGCUCCUGAGACUACAAAGAGAAAGAGGUUGAGUAGGAAGCGGGGUGGUGAUCCAGCCAAGAAAAAGAAGACAAGGAGGAAAGGGGGAGGGAAAGAUUUCAAAAUAGUCCGGCUCUCCUCAACUGCUAGGACUGGUUUUUUCUAUGCCAAGAAGAAAAGUAGGAAGGUGGCUGAUAAGAUUGAGGUCCAGAAAUAUGACCCUAUUGCAAAUCGCCAUGUUCUGUUUACUGAAGUCAAGUGAGUCAGAUUGUUCUUUGUGAUGGAUAUAUACAAAAGAUAGACAGAUAGCUGGAUGGAUAGAUAGGGAGAAAGACAAAUAAAGAAAAAAACCCUUCAACAGAGAGGCAAGAAGAUCUCAGAUCCCAAAGACAAGAGAAGAGAAGAAGGAGAAGAAGGAGAAGAAGAAGAAAAAGGUUGAAAAGGAAGAGAGAAGGAAAUAAAGAAAUGAUUUCCUAGUUUCCCAGUAGCAACUCCAGUGAAAAUCAUGACUUGCAAAUGAAGUAAAGCAAGUAAAGAGGGAGCAGCGUCAGAAACGCCUUCUUUUAUGGGUUAUCUGUUUAAUUUUAGAGAAACAAUGUCAAAUCUGGGUUUGGGAAAAAAGAUAUGGAGACAUUGUCCAUAUCAGGAGAAACCCAAAAGAGAGGGGAAAAGAUUAAGAACAGUGGCUGUUGAACAGAGAGGGCAAGAGCAGUGUACUUUACAAUAUAUAAUUGGAGAGGCAAGUAAGGGAUUGGGUGAAGCUAUUUUUUUUUUUUCUUUCUUUCUUUUUCUUUUUCUUGUUCCAGAUGAAGACAGAGAGAGCUGACUUGAGGAAAGUUUUGUGUGUUCUUUAUGGAGAAGAAGAAAAAUGCAGAGAAAAAGAGGAAAGGUUGAAAGUGGAGAUGGAAAAAAAAAUUGGGAAGCGCAGCGCAAGGACCGAUGUGAGUUUUCUAUUCUUCACGCCUACUCCAUCUUUCAUGCACGUGUUCACACCAAUUAUGUCCCUUUUUUUCAUUUUCUUUUCUAAAACAAAUAGCAAUUACGUCUAAAAUAUUAACAAAUAUUGUACCAAUACAAAAUCAUUUAAUAAAUAUAAUAAUGCCACUUCAUGAUUGACUAUA